rnacentral:rRNA from 1 species
CAGUCGCCGCGGGAAUACGAAGGGGGCUAGCGUUGCUCGGAAUGACUGGGCGUAAAGGGCGCGUAGGCGGUUUUGACAGUCAGAUGUGAAAUUCCUGGGCUUAACCUGGGGGCUGCAUUUGAGACGUCAAGACUAGAGUGUGAGAGAGGGUUGUGGAAUUCCCAGUGUAGAGGUGAAAUUCGUAGAUAUUGGGAAGAACACCAGUGGCGAAGGCGGCAACCUGGCUCAUUACUGACGCUGAGGCGCGAAAGCGUGGGGAGCAAACAGGAUUAGAUACCCCUGUAGUCCCUGUCUCUUAUAC